rnacentral:rRNA from 1 species
AACGCGAAGAACCUUACCUGGGCUCGAACGGCUUCGGACAAACUGUGGAAACACGGUCUUCCCGCAAGGGACUGGAGUCGAGGUGCUGCAUGGCUGUCGUCAGCUCGUGUCGUGAGAUGUUGGGUUAAGUCCCGCAACGAGCGCAACCCUUGUCCUGUGUUGGCAUGCAUUUAGUAAUAAGUGCGCAACUCUCAGGAGACCGCCAGCGAUAAGCUGGAGGAAGGUGGGGAUGACGUCAAGUCAUCAUGGCCUUUAUGUCCAGGGCCACACACGUGCUACAAUGGGCGGUACAAAGCGCUGCCAACCCGCGAGGGGGAGCUAAUCGCCAAAAACCGUCCUCAGUUCGGAUUGCAGGCUGCAACUCGCCUGCAUGAAGCUGGAAUCGCUAGUAAUGCUAUAUCAGAACGAUAGCGUGAAUACGUUCCCGGGCCUUGUACACACCGCGAGC